CCUACGGGAGGCAGCAGUGAGGAAUAUUGGUCAAUGGGCGUAAGCCUGAACCAGCCAAGUCGCGUGAGGGAUGAAGGUUCUAUGGAUUGUAAACCUCUUUUAUAAGGGAAUAAAGUGCGGGACGUGUCCCGUUUUGUAUGUACCUUAUGAAUAAGGAUCGGCUAACUCCGUGCCAGCAGCCGCGGUAAUACGGAGGAUCCGAGCGUUAUCCGGAUUUAUUGGGUUUAAAGGGUGCGUAGGCGGCCUUUUAAGUCAGCUGUGAAAGUCUGUGGCUCAACCAUAGAAUUGCCGUUGAAACUGGGAGGCUUGAGUAUAGUUGAGGCAGGCGGAAUGCGUGGUGUAGCGGUGAAAUGCUUAGAUAUCACGCAGAACCCCGAUUGCGAAGGCAGCCUGCCAAGCCAUGACUGACGCUGAUGCACGAAAGCGUGGGGAUCAAACAGGAUUAGAGACCCCUGUAGUC
rnacentral:rRNA from 1 species